GGGUUGAGAAGUUUCCCUGGAGAAGGAAAGGGCAACCCACUCUAGUAUUCUUGCCUGGGAAAUCCCAUGGAAAGAGGAGCCUGGUGGGCUACCUAUGAAGCAAAUAGGUAGAUAUUGUUCCCACUUUACAGAGAAGGAAAACUGAGGGCUGGAGAGAUUAGUAGCUCAUAAAAGGUAGUUGAGGAAGGAGCACAGGUCUAUAAGCCUUGAAUCUUUCAACUAUAUCAAGAUGCCUUCCUCCAGGGACAUAAAAGCACCCCAGCUUACCACUGGUAGCUUUUACCCGGACUUACUCACCCUAAAGCCUUGAACUCCUGCACCCUCACACUGGCUCACAGAGACUCCUGAAUCCACACUUGUGGGCAUCUAUUUCUCCAGGCAGAUUUCUUUACCACUGAGCCACCUGGGAAUCCAUAGGAAGAGAUAGUAAGGCCCUAAAGCAGUGGUUCUCAUCCUUUGUCGCAAAACGAAAUCAGCUGGAGAGCUUUAAUGAUCUCCACGGCCAGGCUGCUUCCUAGGCCAGUUAAAUCAGGAGCGCAGGAAGUGGAACCCAGCCAGUGGGAGUUGUCAAUGUUCUCCUGCUGAUUCCUCCUUGCAGCCAAGGUGAAGAACUGUUGCCCUAGAGUGGUGGUUCUCAGUGUGUGCAUGUCCAACAGCAUCAGCAUCACCUGGAAAUGUGUAAGGAAAUGCACAUCCUCCAGCCUCACCCUAGACCUGCUGAGUCAGAACUCUGGGGAAUCAUGUUUUCAGCUCUGCAUCUGGUUCUGCUGAACACUGAAGUUUGAGAGCCACUGUCCUCGAGGAAGGAAGCCACGAGACAGCAGGAACCUGGGUCCCAAGCUGCUGUAUCAGGAAUAUCCAUGUUGGAGCAUGAGUGAGAAAUAAACUUUUAUUUUGUUAAGCCACUGGUCCGGUAGGUCAAUGUUUGCAGAGCUUAAAAGACAACAGGGAAGAGCUGAAGGUGGGACUAAGCAGUGGUGUGUGAGAGCUGGCUCCUAUCAGCUCACUUCAUUGAUCCAUUUUUGGAAAUUUUUCAAGCCAGGCGACUUCACAUCAGUAGCUUGACACUGGAGGAGACUAGAAUAUUUACACCUUGGAAAAUGUCAAAUGCUGCAAACCAUGGCCUGUUUUCCCAGAGAGCCAGCUGUUAAACACUAACCAGCACAUUGUUAGGACCAGGUACCAGGGUAAGACAGCAGCAUGGUGCACCCUUCCUGAGCAGUAAUGAAGCAUCAAAAGAAACGCCACCAAUGUGUGAGGCUCCCUAGACCCAGCCAGCCCUCAGACUUCUCUGGACAAACUCUGUCUUGGCCAAGUCCUUGUAUUUAGAGCUUCUGGAGGCUUGAGAGAUAGGGGGCUGUAGGAAGCAGAGGGGAUGAAUGGUCAAAACCUUCUUACAGAUUGAGUGAUUGAUAGAUUCAGAGCAGAGUUUCCCGACCUUGGCACUGUUGACAUUUGAGGUCAGCACAUUCUUGUUUGGGGGGCUAUCCUGUGCACUGUAGCUUCUUUGGCAAUAUCCCUGGCCUCUGCCCACUAGAUGCCAUUAGUCAGGUACUGCCAAGUGUCUCCUGGAGGGCAAAGCCACCCCUAGUUCAGAAGCACUGAUUAAGAACUACCUAGAAGAGAAGAGACCUAGAAGGGAAGAGACAUGCCAAGGAGUGCUGUGCUCAGCAUACCAUCUCAGCCCCAGAGCAAUUUUGAGAAGAUGCUGUUGGAGUCAGUUGCAAUCACAUGCUGGCCUCCUGCCACUGUCCUCAACAAGCUCUCUCCCUUGGUUUCCCAUCUCCUUGAUCAGGCCCUUUCUUUCUCAAUGAUACCUGUACUCCUGGAGUCUUACUACCACCUUUAGCUCUCCGUUUAGGAGUGUCUCUGCAGGUUCCAUCCCUUGGUUGGGAAGAUGCCCUGGAGACGGAAAUGGCAACCCACUCCAGUAUUCUUGCCUGGGAAAUCACAUGGAUAGAAGAGCCUGGCAGGUUAUAGUCCAUGGGAUCGAGCAAGAC
ensembl:lncRNA